rnacentral:rRNA from 1 species
CGCCUUUGGAAAUUAAAAAUCAUAAGGUCCUGCCUGCCCAGUGAUUAAAAAAUUAAACGGCUGCGGUACUCUGACCGUGCAAAGGUAGCAUAAUCAUUUGCCUGUUAAUUCCAGGCUGGAAUCAACGGCUAGACGAAGGAAAUACUGUCUCUCUUAAUAUAUUUUGAAUUUAGUUUUUUGGUGAAGAAACCAAAAUAAAAAAGUGGGACGAGAAGACCCUAUUGAGCUUUAGUUAAUUUUAAUAAAACAAUUUAUUAAGAGAACUUUGGUUGGGGCAACUAAUUUUUUAAUAAGACAAAAUUAAUUAGAAUAAAUUAAAUUUAAAAUUUUGACCCAUAAUUGUUAUGGUAAUUAGAAAAAGUUACCAUAGGGAUAACAGCGUAAUUUUCUUUGAGAGUACAUAUUGACAAGAAAGUUUGCGACCUCGAUGUUGGAUCAAGAUAACCUGAAGGUGCAGCAGCUUUCAAAGGUAGGUUUGUUCAACCUAUAAAAUCUUACGC